ensembl:lncRNA
GUGACUAUAAAAUAAAUAAGUAAUGAAAUAAUCUAAAGCUAUAAUGUUUAAAAUAUAAAUGAAUUUUUGGUCACCAGAGGUCUAAACAUUCUUAUUUGUGUUUUAUUUCAUACAUGACCAUGUGGCUGAAAGUAAAAAUAGAAACUAGAGGAAAUAAAAUAAAUCAAGCCCAAAUAAAGCACACACAAAAUAAAAAAGUAUGUCAAAUGGUAACUAACAGUCUACACACUGAUACUCUACAGCCGAGGACACGGUAAAUUGGGUAAGGGUAAGAAAGAAGAAAUGCAUGAAGUGUAGUGCAUGACUUUUGUAGAAAAUAAGCAGAGUGUUUCCCCUGCUGUGAUCACAACACGUCUAAUAUCUGUGAUAAUUGAGGGUGAAGGAGACGAAGGUACGGAGGCGCUAAGCAUUAACUGCUGUAACACGCAUGAAUAAGUAACGAGCUCGGAGCUGAAUUAAUUAGCGUCUUCUUCCUGUUCUACUCGGAUCAUCGGGGAGAAAAGGACAACGCCGAGUCCGAGAUGUUUAUUUAUUUAAUAGUGUUACGUUACAGCUUAUUAAACAUGCAUCCUGUAUUAAGAGAACGUCCACCUUAUUAAUUAUUAACGGCCAUGUUUACAGAUAACUCGUGGAAGGAUAUUUAAUGCAGCUUAGCUUUAGCUAAUCGCAGUCUAAUCUUAAAACACAGCUUUAUGAAGUGGGUAAACAAACCUGUCUAUAUGAUAGAAUUGAUUUUAAUGUUAAAUAAAUGAAUAAAUACAUACAUACAUACAUACAUACAUAAAUAAAUAAUUUAUCACACGAUUGUCAUGUGAUCGCCACAGUUCCAAGAUGGUAGAACUUACUGCCAUGGCGCUGGGCGUUAGCACACGUCCCUGCUGUUGAUCAUUUUCCUAUUAAAGCAGGAUGCCGGAGUCUUUUAUUUGUGUUUUAUUCCUUACUUAUUUACUGCUUUCAUUUUCAUAUCAUUUAAUAUAACAUUUAACUACGCAAAUAAUCAACUCAUACUAACAAAGUCAUUCGCGAUUAGUUUCAACCGAUAAAGUCUACGGUGACCGAUAUGAAAAAAUUCCUAUAUUUAUUUAUAUUUCUGUUACACUACUGCAAUUUCCCAACAAUCACGCAAUUUUAUUCACGAAGGAUGAAACGUCGUUAGUUCCGAUCCUUAUAUGGUUACAUUUAACCAGACAUUUCCUGUUCUCGCUUACGUUAUAGCAGCUACAAAUAAGCAGUCGUCCCCUCACCAGCCUCUCGUUUUUCUCCGUCUUCGGGUUAAUAAGACAAAAAAAAAAAUACAAACUCGUCCGUCCUGAAGAUGUCGAAGACUUUUACAAAGCAUUGACACCGGAGACUCCUUCCAUUAAUGCUACAUAAACGUCUC